rnacentral:rRNA from 1 species
UACGAGGGGUCCAAGCGUUGUUCGGAAUCACUGGGCGUAAAGCGGGUGUAGGUGGCUUUGUAAGUCACAUGUGAAAGCCCCGGGCUCAACCCGGGAAGUGCAUGUGAUACUGCAAAGCUUGAGUAAGGGAGAGGAUGGCAGAAUUCCAGGUGUAGUGGUGAAAUACGUAGAUAUCUGGAGGAACUCCGGUGGCGAAGGCGGCCAUCUGGCCCAUUACUGACCACUCAGACCCGAAAGCCGUA